rnacentral:rRNA from 1 species
AUACGGAGGAUGCGAGCGUUAUCCGGAUUUAUUGGGUUUAAAGGGUGCGUAGGCUGUGCGUUAAGUCAGGGGUGAAAUGCCGUCGCUCAACGACGGAGCUGCCCUUGAUACUGGCGUGCUGGAGUACGGAUGCCGUUGGCGGAAUGAGUGGUGUAGCGGUGAAAUGCUUAGAUAUCACUCAGAACACCGAUUGCGAAGGCAUCUGACGAAUCCGUCACUGACGCUGAGGCACGAAAGCUUGGGGAUAGAACAGGAUUAGAUACCCUGGUAUUCCACGCCGUAAACGAUGAUGACUAACCGUCGGCGAUAGACAGCCGGUGGCCAAGCGAAAGCGAUAAGUCAUCCACCUGGGGAGUACGUCGGCAACGAUGAAACUCAAAGGAAUUGACGGGG